AUUCAUUCAUUCAUUAGUAUUUAUUGAGCGCUUACUAUGUGCAGAGCACUGUACUAAGCACUUGGAAUGUACAAAUCGGUAACAGAGACAGUCCCUGCCCUUUGACGGGCUUACCGUCUAAUCGGGGGAGAAAUAAUAAUGUUGGUAUUUGUUAAGCGCUUACUAUGUGCAGAGCACUGUUCUAAGCACUGGGGUAGAUACAGGGUCAUCAGGUUGUCCCACGUGAGGCUCACAGUCUCAAUCCCCAUUUUACAGUUGAGGUAACUGAGGCCCAGAGAAGUGAAGUGACUUGCCCACAGUCACACAGCUGACAAGUGGCAGAGCUGGGUUUCGAACCCAUGACCUCUGACUCCCAAGCCCGGGCUCUUUCCACUGAGCCACGCUGCUUCUAUGCUCUAUCCCCAGGCCAUGCUGCAUCUCUAGUUGCCUUGAGUGUGGCUCUCUGGUGAAGUUAAAAAGUGAGGGACCGGGGAAAGGAAGGGAGGAUUUUAUGAGUAAUAUAGUCUCCCUGAGUACAGAAAGAUUUCUUUUAUUUAGGGGGAAGUUUGAUAACUCUGGUUCUGGCUGGAGAUUGAACAGUCUCAUAUCCUCUAUUUUAGUUGCAGAUAAACUACCUCUUAGUUGCAGAACUCAUGGUCUUUGAUCUAGCUUGCCAAAAGCUUGCAGCUUACUUUCCAGUUACAUCAUAUGCCAUGGAAAAGGUGCCGGAGCCCACCGCUGUUCGAAGCAGAGACAGCCUCCAGGAUUGUCCUGUGAAGACCCCAUUAAGGUUUCCGAUGUCAGUAGGAGCAGCGAACUUUAACCCUGUCCCCAGGACGCAGAUGCCCACCCUUAUAGGGCCCUGCUUGGUCUGGUGAGAUGGAGAUGAUGAAGAUGAGCUCUGAGGUCAAAGGAAGAGAACCUUUUCCCAAAAAGGAGUGAAAAAGAAGAAAAGUCUGCCCACACCCCCUUGGCCAACUGUGGUUAGGACAACAUAGUUUCACCUCUCCGCCGGGACCAGACCGUACCAGGGACUGGUUUGACAUUGGUUGUUUUUCUGAGCAACUCAAUGCACUUUCUGGUCACCUCCUGACCCAGAUGCCCAGGCAGAGGGAAGUGGGGAGACUUGGGCAGAGCUUGUGUAGGGUACCAAUGCCUCUGCGAACACUUCUAGGAUUUUCUGGAGAGGAAAGUUACAAAAAAAAAAGUU
rnacentral:lncRNA from 1 species